GCCAAAAGCUAAUGCUGCACUGAAGAAGCCAGUUACUGUCAUCCCAGGAUCACGAAGAACGUUGAAGUCAGCAUCUUCUAGUGCACAAGCUCCCCAGGAAAGUGCCUUUUACUUGAUAAUUGUGGAAGUGACUUUUAUUAGUCUAUCCAAAGGUGUGCAUUAGCCAUUCAAGAUUAAGUCAACUAACAAAUUUCUACAAACGCAGUCCCUUGCCAUAAAAAAGGAAUCAGCAUCCCUGUCUAAGCCUCCUAAGAUGGCAGGCAGAGGUAGCAUAUCAACAGCAGCUAACGGACCUUUACUGAACCACAACCGUGUUAAACUGGAAGAUGAUAAAAGAAAACGUUCGGCUUCAGAAAAUUCAAAAAAACUGAGAGG
rnacentral:lncRNA from 1 species